rnacentral:rRNA from 1 species
AUUGAACGCUGGCGGCAGGCCUAACACAUGCAAGUCGAACGAGUGGCGGACGGGUGAGUAAUGUCUGGGAAACUGCCCGAUGGAGGGGGAUAACUACUGGAAACGGUAGCUAAUACCGCAUACCAUCGGAUGUGCCCAGAUGUGAUUAGCUAGUAGGUGGGGUAACGGCUCACCUAGGCGACGAUCCCUAGCUGGUCUGAGAGGAUGACCAGCCAACCGGGAACUGAGACACGGUCCAGACUCCUACGGAAGGAAGCAGGGGGGAAUAUUGCACAAUGGGCGCAAGCCUACUGCAGACCGGCCGGGUGUAGGAAGAAGGCUUUCGGGUUGUAAAGUACGUUCAGCGAGGAGGCGUUACUCGCAGAAGAAGCACCGGCUAACUCCGUGCCAGCAGCCGCGGUAAUAC